rnacentral:misc_RNA from 1 species
CCCUCAACAACCCAGAUACUAAAUUCACCAGAAACCAUGACAUGUUCCCACCAUGUACAAUCACUGUACAGUAGUAAAAUUGAAGCAGAGAUAUACCCACAGAGCCCAAAAACUUUGAAUGAAAACUGAGGAAUUAUGAAGAUUUCUUUAAAAAAGAAAAGAAAUUGAUAAAAGGUUAUCUGGAACCUACUACGCUGGUGAAAUCUAUGGCUUCCAAAUGGACCAGCAAAGCGAUCAAGU